rnacentral:rRNA from 1 species
GAUGAACGCUAGCGGCAGGCUUAAUACAUGCAAGUCGAGGGGCAGCACGAAUAGCAAUAUUUGGUGGCGACCGGCAAACGGGUGCGGAACACGUACGCAACCUUCCUUUAAGUGGAGAAUAGCCCGGGGAAACCCGGAUUAAUACUCCGUAACAUUAUAAAGUGGCAUCACUUAGUAAUUAUAGAUUUAUCGCUUAAAGAUGGGCGUGCGCCUGAUUAGGUAGUUGGCGGAGUAAUAGCCCACCAAGCCUGCGAUCAGUAACUGGUGUGAGAGCACGACCAGUCACACGGGCACUGAGACACGGGCCCGACUCCUACGGGAGGCAGCAGUAAGGAAUAUUGGUCAAUGGACGCAAGUCUGAACCAGCCAUGCCGCGUGGAGGAUG